rnacentral:rRNA from 1 species
AUUGAACGCUGGCGGCAUGCUUUACACAUGCAGGUCGAACGGUAACAGGCCGCAAGGUGCUGACGAGUGGCGAACGGGUGAGUAAUGCAUCGGAACGUGCCCAGUCGUGGGGGAUAACUGCUCGAAAGAGCAGCUAAUACCGCAUACGAUCUAUGGAUGAAAGCGGGGGACCGUAAGGCCUCGCGCGAUUGGAGCGGCCGAUGUCAGAUUAGGUAGUUGGUGGGGUAAAGGCUCACCAAGCCAACGAUCUGUAGCUGGUCUGAGAGGACGACCAGCACACUGGGACUGAGACACGGCCCAGACUCCUACGGGAGGCAGCAGUGGGGAAUUUUGGACAAUGGGGGCAACCCUGAUCCAGCAAUGCCGCGUGCAGGAAGAAGGCCUUCGGGUUGUAAACUGCUAUUGUACGGAACGAAACGGUCUGGGUUAAUACCCUGGGCUAAUGACGGUACCGUAAGAAUAAGCACCGGCUAACUACGUGCCAGCCGCCGCGGUAAAAC